ACUACGGGAGGCAGCAGUGAGGAAUAUUGGUCAAUGGGCGGAAGCCUGAACCAGCCAAGUAGCGUGCAGGAUGACGGCCCUACGGGUUGUAAACUGCUUUUAUACGGGAAUAACGCGCCUUACGUGUAGGGCUUUGCAUGUACCGUAUGAAUAAGGACCGGCUAAUUCCGUGCCAGCAGCCGCGGUAAUACGGAAGGUCCGGGCGUUAUCCGGAUUUAUUGGGUUUAAAGGGAGCGUAGGCCGCAUGUCAAGCGUGCUGUGAAAUGUCCGGGCUCAACCCGGGCCUUGAAGCGCGAACUGGCGUGCUUGAGUCCGCGGAAAGCAGGCGGAAUUCGUCGUGUAGCGGUGAAAUGCUUAGAUAUGACGAAGAACCCCGAUUGCGAAGGCAGCUUGCUGCAGCGGAACUGACGCUGAUGCUCGAAAGCGCGGGUAUCGAACAGGAUUAGAUACCCCUGUAGUC
rnacentral:rRNA from 1 species